UGUAUAACGGAUGUGCCGUAUAAAAUUCUAGAUAGAAAAACUGAUAAAUGACAACUAUCUAUCUAUUAGUCUUGACCAAAAUUACGUGCCAGCAGUCGCGGUAAUACGCAGAAAGACAAAGUGUUAUUCAUCUUUAAUCGGUUUAAAAGGGUACCUAGACGGGAAAAUCAAAGCCAAUAGUAGGGACUAAUUUUCUAGAGUUUUAUGGAUGAAAAGUCGAAAUGUCUGGAGUAGAGAUGAAAAUAUUAUAAUACUAGAUGGACGGGCAAACGGCGUAGGCAACUUUCUAUGUAAAAACUGACGUUGAGGGACGAAGCCCUAGGUAGCAAUAAGGAUUAGAUACCCUAGUAGUCCAGGGAGACAAUGAUGAGUGCCAUAGGCUAGAUAAAUUAGCUUAUAAAUGAAAGUGUAAGCAUUCCACCUCAAGAGUAAAGCGGCAACGCCCAAAUUGAAAUCAUUAGACCGAUACUGAAACCAGUAGUGAAGUAUGUUAUUUAAUUCGAUGAUCCGCGAAUAACCUUACCACGUUUUGAAUACUUUUUGUAUGUGCUUUUAUCACCACAAAUUGUACAAGCGCUGCACGGCUGUCUUUAGUUAAUGUCGUGAGACUUUGGUUAACUCCUCUAAUUAACGUAAAACCCUUGUUUUAUUUGUUUAUAAAACGAGUUACUCUGGUACGAAUGGUAUAAGUAUAUAUAGGGAUUAAGGCAAGUCAUCAUGGCCAUAAGAGCGUGGGCUGUCGACGUGCCACAUAUGCCUUUACAAAAAGGAUGCG
rnacentral:rRNA from 1 species